GCCAUAAUUUUUUGCUCUUUCUUUUUUUGGUAUAACAGGCUUCGGGAGCUCAAGCAACUAGGUGAAGGUGCAACCCACAUGGUUUAUCCUGGGGCUCUGUAUUUUAGGUUUGAGCCCUCCCUUCAUGGUAUAUUGGCUUGCUGGUGAUGCUGAGGAAAGGCUGAAAAAUUACCAGGGGGUUUGGAGCUAGGCAUCGAUUACUUUGAUGUUCAGACAGUGAAGCUUGCAGGUGAUUUAUUGGGUUUAACUUGAACUGCCUCUAUAUGAAACUGGUUUUUAGUUUUUUAGUCCUAUUAUCUGUUCAUCCAAUUGUAGGACUUCUGCUGCAUGAUGUGGGCCGUGGUCCUUUAUCACUUGUUUGAAUGCGAGUUUCUCCCCAGUGUUAUAAAUGGUGAAAAAUAUAAUGUUUUUAUGUCUUAGAUGGACUACAUUCAGAGUUUCAGUUAACAUAAUGAAACAUCAGCCUCCAAUUUCAUGAAUACAUGUUUCUGCUUGAAUAGUAUGUUUUCAUAGCAGUUGAUGCUUUAUGCAUUUCAUGAAUGUAAGAUCUAUACGUGUACUUCGAAGUUGGAACUUGGAACAAGUUUUUGAACUUCUGCAUGUGGUCAUUUGUCUUUCACUUAAAUUGCAAUUUAAUUAUCAGGUUCCUUAAGGUCGUAGUUUGAGAGGUUACUUUUUGGUGCAACCAGUGGAUCUCUAAUGUUGGAGGAGCCUUAGAGCUUUUGUUUUGUUAUCUUUCUUAGAUGAAUUUGAUUCUCUCAAAUCUUGCUAUCUAAAAUGCUAUUUCCCAAUAAAUAGAAAAGAUUUCAAAGCUUUUAUGAGUUUGCAGGUUAUCUCCCUUAUCUGUUUUUGAUGUAAUUGUAUUCCCAGGUUUCAUGAACAAAUGUCCACGAAAAUGGCUGGUCAUAUUUUGAAGAGCAUGAUAUUGAUAUUGACUCUGAAUUUGAAAUGAUGCCACAUCAUUUCUAGUGACUAGGUGACUACCAAUAGCAUUCUUAUGCGAGCUUUAGACACAAACAAUUGUAUUACUUAUUGUAUUCAAAAGAUGUUAGAAUGUAAAAACAAAAGAAAGAAAAAGGCCAUCACACCAUUGUGCUUAACUGUGAUUCAAGAAGGUAAUCUUAAUUCAUUUGUAAAAUUUCACAUUUUUGCAUCAACUGGCUGCUUCAGAAGUUUUAGUUGUGCGGUCAUGCUUGGAAGCUUUUCUUUUAUUUCAUCGCAUGAUGCUUCUUAACAUGAUAACUAUCCCUAAAAAAUAAGGAAAAAGAAAAACGAAGAGUAAAAUAAAAAGCUCAGAAUUGUAUUGGAUAGUCAUGUCAAAUGACUGAUAUGUAGAUGCUGUGCACCUUCAUGUUGACUGCUUUAUUUUGUGUGAUAUCUCACACAUGUUAUAUGUAUGUAUUUAAGUUUGCGUAUUUCUUUGUAUUUUUAAAUAUUUAUAUGCAUUUAUACAUAUUAUAUGUUUUGUGUAUUUAUAAUAUUAGCUUAAGAUACUUAAAUUUGGUGUGGAAAGAAGGUAUGAUUAUUGCUCCGAUGUUGUGGUCGGAAUCUCCACUGGGUUUUUCUACGUGGCAUUGUGUGGAAGUCUAAAUUUCCAACCAUGUCAUGCUAACAAUUAGGUCUACUCUUGCCAUGCCAAUUUUUUGGCUUAGUCAUGCCAUGAUCAUAUUUUGAGCCCUCUAUAUAUUCUCCUAUGAACUUCUAUCUUGGAAUCUAGUCCCUAUAAGUGUUCUCACAUAUUUAACAUAAAUCCAUAUGUAAUGAAGAAACAUGGAUCGUUACUUUUUAUUUAACAAAACAGCAUACCCCAAUGGUUAGCAGGAAGGGGGACAAUUAUUAAUUUGGCAUUGUCCUGGAUAUAGGUGGCCCUUGUUUCUCAUAGUAUGACGGUCCAAAUCCACCUAAGGGUAUCUAGGGACAUGAUCCCCUGCAUACGCAGGAGAUAUUUGUACCAGGUAAAGAAGCUUUGCUAAUGGCUUACCUACAUUUUCCUCUCAAUUAAAAACAUCUGGCAUCCAUUUUAAUCUUACUAUUGUCUCAUGGAAGGCAUGUAAAUUAUGAAUCUUAUGUUUUUAUAGUGUAUGUGAUGUUAGUGCUCCUUUUAUUAUGCACUUGAUAAUAGUAAAAGGUGUUUCAUUUCUCUAUGUCAGUUUGUAAUGAGCAUGCUGUUCCUAGGGACAAAGUAGAGAAUUUCAAAGAUGUCACUUCACAGUUCACAGAAUAAUGUUUGUUCCCUGGUUGUCACAAAAACUUGGUCCUAUAAACAUAUGCGUGCAUGUGUUUAAAAUGUUUUCCCCUGCUGUUUGUAAUCAAUAAUCUGGGGUAUUAAGGGCUUCAAAUUCACGGAAAAAUGGUGUUGUGUUCCUGAAGGAAGAGGAUAUUGCAGUAAGCAAUGUUAGGAUUGAUUUGACUUGUGGAAGGCAUAAUCCUCUAAAUAGGUACUUGAACUAUGAGGCAUUUUUUUUUUGUAUUUAAACAGUGCAUCCCCUAUUCUUGUAAUUUUGGUUGAAUAUUGCAUUCUACUGAUAUUUUUCCAUCUCUGUUUCCUCUUUUACCUGGGUGCAUGUAUCUUCCUUCUCCAGCAUCAACUUUUUCAAGGUACUAUUACUGCUACAUUUCACUAUCUUUACCUGAACCUACUAUGUAUUCAGUCUUACCUCAAUAUUAACUAGUUACUAAAAUGAUGACAUUUUUAUAGCAUUGCUCAAUGUGAUGUGGGACCACUUUAGAGUUAGACCGGCUGUGGGCCAGUUCGGAACCGGAACGGUCAAAACUGGAUUGACUAAAAUCGGUGUUGAACUGGACUGGAACAGGCUGGUUCAGUUCUAGGCCAAACCAGAUUUAAAAAAAAAAAAAAAAAAAAAUUUUAAAAAAAUUUCAGCCGUUGGAUUUGAUUAGAACCAGAACUGAAACUGAAACUGGAAUCUGAGGAACCCUUUGGUUCCCCCUAAAUCUUGAAAUGGAACCAACCUGUGGCCAUAGUUAGAGCCUAUGUAUUUUAGGAAGAAAUUUAGGCAACAUACUGAGUUGUGAUCACACUAACUGUUAUUGAUGUUUGAGUUAUGUGUUGUUUCCAAGAUGAAUUUUUCAAGCCAUACUCUGAGAGCUUGGUUCUGCUAGGAUAUGUGAUUUUCAUGAGCUUUGACAAAAGUAGUUCAAAUAUGUUGGUGGCAUUUGCCCUUUGUUACCAUCCAUCUUUGCUAUUACUGGAAGAGUUCCUCACAUCUUACAAUAAUCACCCAAAUAGAAUUUUCAGGAUUAUUUAGAGCAGACCAUAAUAGUGUCUUAAAUUAGCAUCCUUAUUAUUCUCAGAUUUUGUACAGAGAUUAGUAUGUCCUUUGCUGUUCUCCUGUUUAGGAUUACAAAAGUGAGGAGAAAUUGUCCAUACCUGAUGAUCACAUCAGUCACUUGCUACCUACAUUUUAUCAAGAUAUAAUAGUGAUGGUCUACUUAGAGAAGCCCGAAGUGGUCUAUAGAUUCAAAUGCUUAGGACAUUUAGAUAAUUGGAUGCCCAAAUUCAAGGCUAACUUCAUCAGAUACGAUCUGUUUUGUGGAUUCACUCUCUGGGCCUGCAAACUUCAACAAGUGUUUGGCCAAACACGUUUAGCAACCUCUAAAUGUUUGGGCUUGAUCAAAUUCUAGCAUGAUAUUAGUGUCUCUCAUACCAAAAGGUUAAGAGUUUGAAUCUUGGCCACUUCCAUUUAUUAGUUAAACUUUUCAGCACAAGGUAAAAUGAGUCUGUACUUGUUUAUGCUUCAAGAUUAGUAGACAUUCGUGUGUAAGGGUGUGUUAGAGAUACAAAACUAUUCACUGCAAGCAUGAAUUUUUAGGUUGAGUGAUUUCAUGACAAUAUCUAACCUUGUUAUAUUCCCAGUAACAUUUAUGUUCUACCCAAAGAACAUUUGUUAACAACUACACUGUAACAGGUAGCAUCAGUCUUUGAGACUUUUGAAAAUUUCCAGUUGAGAACUUAUGGGAUUAAGGCACAAGUGCAUGCAACUCCUGUGAAAAAGAAAUGCUGAACUUUAGGUUUUUACUGUUUAUACUAGUUCUCUCACUUGUUUAUUUUGAUAAUGAAUGUAAAAUACAUAUUUGCCAUGCCACAAAUUUGUAAGUUUGAAUGUCGUACCACAGGUGAAGCACAUUAUUUAUUUAAUUCCUUUUGCCAUUCUGUCAUGGCUUUCCCUCAA